AAGAAAACCAAAAAAUAAAACGCAGAAGCAAGAAGAGUUAGAGAAGACCCACCCUCCCACCGCGAAGCUCUCCGGCAAGCAUCUUCCCCAUCCCCCAACUCCGCCAUCGUGAUGCGCCCCUCUCCUCGCACCAUCUCCAGUCGCCGCCACUGCCGCCACCUCAAACCCUAGAGUCUUUCAAGAAAUCCAAAAUAUGGAGAAGGCAAUGGAGUCUUUGAAUGUAAUGAUAAACAAUCUGAGACACUCUGCUUCUUCCAAUUUUUAUGCUCUGGGCAUCAGGCCACCGAGUCAAUCCCGAUCUUGUUUCUUGUACCUUCAAACUGUUGUUCAUCGAAGUUUUGCAGUAGCAGAUAAUCUUGGUGAAGUUUCUGCAAACGCACAGAUUCAAACAGUGUGCUUCGAUAGCCUUGGUCUUAUGCUUGCGCCUUGAACAUUUUGUUCAGAAACAAUCUAAGGUUUUUGCGCCUUGAACAUUUUGUUCAGAAACAAUCUAAGGUUGCAAGCAAGUUUGCCUUUUGUUGUGUGCCCAAUCUUCUCAGCAAUCGACCUCAUUGGAGUUUAUCAAGGUUUGAAGCAUGUUCAUCUGCAGACAUUAACUAAGGUUGGUCUUUUAUGCUUGUACUAAACUAACAGUCAUUCUAUUGACAUUAUUGGGUGUGUAUAUGAGAACUUCAAUAAAGGUGUUGCUCACAUAUUGAGACUACUUUGUGUUUUUAAAGAAUGUAAAUUUUGCUCCCUAUUUGAUGAGUUCCCCUCAUGUACUAUCUCAAGUUUUUGGCUUUAGUCUCCCAUAUGUAAGUUGUGCCUGACAAGCUAAUGCUCAAAAAAUGUUUUAUUGAUAGAUUCCUAAAAAUGUUUGGAUAUCAUGCCUCCAUUAGAUAACUUGUUUAUGUAUUACGUUCUCAUGAUUUUUUUUUUCCUUCAUUAAUCAACCCUUUUUUUUUGGUUGUCUUGCUAUCAAAAUUCAAAACCAGUUUCAAUGGAUAAUCAGUAAUUACUGUGCCAUUGCCUGCAACAAACCACAUGAUUUUUACUGUGCCAUUGCUUGCUUCAAGCCACCCACAGAAACAAAUUCCCCAACUCCUUUGUGUGAUGUUCUUGGAAAUGAGUCCCCGUUGGAGUACAUAUUCUCCAACAAUGCUCCAUUGUUUCAGGGAUGAAGGAAAUGUCUGUAUUCUCUUUAGAAUGCUUUGUAGUAUUGCUUCUUAUUAUCCAUUUCUCGUUGUCAAGAUAGGCUUGAGAUUAUAAUUAAUACUUGGAUUCAGUCGGGAUGUAUCCCUUCACUUGCAAAUGUGAGUGAAGAGGAAGGUAUUGAUUUCAUGUGGAACAAAGGUGAGGUCUUGCACCUUAAUUUUUCCAUAAAUAUGUUUAUUGCUUUUAUAUGGGGUGCUUUAGAAUUGGAUAUUGGCAUUUAGUGAGAUUUGGAUUAGGUAGAGGAUCGUGGCCCAUAAGAAUUGGUUGCUUAAACCCCAAAAGUCAAUUACCAAGGUUGCCGAUGAUGACUAUGCGAUCUUUGAAUAAUGAAGACUUCUAUUUCAUAUGUCCGAAGAUCCUUUGCAGUGGAAUGGCAAAAACUUGGCAAGUGAGUAUAUUAUGAUCUGUCUGGCCCUCCUUCCUUACCUUGCUUAUGAUCUGUCUGGCCCUGUAGUUUGUGCAUUUGGGUUCUUCUGCUACUUUCCAUAAAUUGGUUUAUUCCACUAUUUCUUGUGUUUAAUUAUUCUGUUGUUAACGUGUGUUUAGGUCAAGAAUUCAAACAGAGCAUCGGUUAUCAGUUAUUGAGGUGUUCCUCUGUUUUUGAUGCCAAUAUCCACACACCAGAAAUGAAGGUUUUGAGGAGGAAAAUGGAGGAGAUAGCAAUCUCUGUAAAGCAGGGCAGUACUACCACUUAAUUUGCCCAAUUAGUUAAAAGUACAUUAAACAUGUGCAAAGGUGGGGAUUCAGAGGAGAAGAGCUUAUCCCUUUAUAUCACUGCAAAUGGGUGAUGAGCAAGAAGGUAAUGAGGCCUAGACGUGUAGCCGAUGUGUUUUUGGGUGC